UACGUAGGGUGCGAGCGUUAAUCGGAAUUACUGGGCGUAAAGCGUGCGCAGGCGGUUUUGUAAGCCAGGUGUGAAAUCACCGGGCUCAACCUGGGAAUGGCAUUUGGGACUGCAAGGCUGGAGUGCGGCAGAGGAGACUGGAAUUCCUGGUGUAGCAGUGAAAUGCGUAGAUAUCAGGAGGAACACCGAUGGCGAAGGCAGGUCUCUGGGCUGACACUGACGCUCAUGCACGAAAGCGUGGGGAGCAAACAGG
rnacentral:rRNA from 1 species